UUGUGCUGCUACGGCGUACGUGAACGCGGACUGUGAAACACAACGUUCAGUUCUCAGUGAAGUUCUCCACGUAAAAGUCAACGGAAACGUUUCCGUCGGCAGCAGCAGCAGCCACAGCAGCGCAGCCAUUGCUGAGGUCCUUCAUCAAAAUGCGCACACAUACAAAAGUAAAUGUAUAUGAAAAGAAAGUGUCAUAAAUCAAGCGAUUAUCCUGUAAACAAAGUGUAAAACGCGCUCCCCAGCAAACAACAAAAACAACAAAAACGAAAACAACAACAACAGCAAUAACAACAACAACCUUUAAUAAAAACAGAACCAGAAACCCAACAAGGAGUUUUUCUUAAUAAAACCCGAUUUGUAUUACGUUAAAAGCCAACGUGGAUAACAACAACAACAACAACAACAACAACAACAAAACAACGACAACCACAGCCACAACAACAACAACAAAAACUGCUUUUUAUUACUUGAGCAUUUAAUUUUGCUGAGUUGCUGUUGGACAUUUCAUCUGAAGCCCAACAAGGUUUUGGGUACAGCCACUUUGUUUGGCAUUUUUGAAGAGUCCCAGCGAAAAACAAGGCACUAGAUUGGAUUGGGCUUAAACACAUUAUAUAAUGCUUGCGACAGUGAGAUGACGCCAGUGCAAGUGAGAACGAUACGUUAGGCGGCGUUGACUAUGGGACCAGAGGCAUGGGCGUGUGUGCGGACCCUGGGUCUUAUCGAUGGUGUCAGGCAUUAAGCCGGUCGCGUUCGUCGUGCGCCACAAAUACAAACCAAUCAACGAGAAAGCAGACUCAACAACAAUCAGACACAAUCAGCGAAAGUACCAGAGCCGAGUCAACAAUUGUAGCAUCGAUAUUUCGUGGAGCUACGACGACGACGACGACAAUUCCAACCGCUUCGACUUUAAACCAAACGCCGUUGAAAACGGCUGCGUUCACAGUGAAAACAACGAGAAGAAGAAGACACCAGGACGAGGACGACGACGUCGAAGAGGACGUCGACGGCUGUGCUCGCACUCCGACCAAGACUUGCCGAUCAAUACAGAUUCUGAAAUUAGCACUCAUCUGUCUGUUUGCUCUAUUGGCACAAAAUGCACAAGCUCACAAUAUACCAGAAGAUGCUGUGCACAUCACGGCCAUACUGGGCGAAGGGGUUGUCUUCAACUGCCACGUCGAGUUCCCCAAUGAUCAUCCAGUGCCAUAUGUCCUGCAGUGGGACAAGAAGGUGAGCGAAACGGUACGAUAUCACACAUCAAAUUUCUUCUCUAAACUCUCUUUUUUACAUUGUUGUUUGAUAACGCAAAAAGCUAAAGAAAGUAAGAAACAGAUAGACAAAAGUCGAAGAAAGCGCGACAAAUGCUAACGACACAGUAAACCGAAAUACUUACAUAUAUCAAGCUAUAUUCAACGUUUUCGAACUCUUUACCCAACUAACUAUCCACUUACAUACAUAAUUACCAACUAAUUUAUGAGCAUCCCUAACUAACUAAUCAAUAUUCGGUUAGUUUUUGCAUUUAUGUUCCAUUCUGUUCUGUUCCACUUGAUUUCCAACAUUAUUGCUAUACUAACUAAUUAAGUGCCAAGUAGGCGAAAAGCCAGCUUUAGCUCCACAGUGCGUAUGCGUAAUAAUCGAAAUUUGUUGUAAACUAGGCGUUACUUGUGCUUAACGGCCAUUUGGAUAAUGAAUACCUGUAUUCGGCUUAUGCUAAUGCAAUAUAACACGAUUGUUCAUGCUGAUGUUGUAUUAUUGCCCGCGCAAUAUAAAUGUGUAAAUGAAUUAACUUGAGAUGGAAUUGGAAUUGGAUAUGUCCAUAAUAUUUGAUAUGUAUGUGUUUUAUGUGUUGCUCGAUUGGCAGUUGCAGUAUAAAUAAAUAUAUGCGU
rnacentral:misc_RNA from 1 species